rnacentral:rRNA from 1 species
UACGAAGGGGGCUAGCGUUGUUCGGAAUCACUGGGCGUAAAGGGUGCGUAGGCGGGUCUUUUAAGUCAGGGGUGAAAUCCUGGAGCUCAACUCCAGAACUGCCUUUGAUACUGAAGAUCUUGAGUUCGGGAGAGGUGAGUGGAACUGCGAGUGUAGAGGUGAAAUUCGUAGAUAUUCGCAAGAACACCAGUGGCGAAGGCGGCUCACUGGCCCGAUACUGACGCUGAGGCACGAAAGCGUGGGGAGCAAACAGG